GGGGUUGUGGCUCAGUGGUAGAGCGCUCACCUCGCACGUAUGAGACCCUGGUUCAAUCCUCAGCACCA
rnacentral:tRNA from 1 species